ACUCCUACGGGAGGCAGCAGUGGGGAAUAUUGGACACUGGGCGCAAGCCUGAUCCAGCCAUGACGCGUGAGUGAUGAAGGCCCUAGGGUUGUAAAGCUCUUUCACCGGUGAAGAUAAUGACGGUAACCGGAGAAGAAGCCCCGGCUAACUUCGUGCCAGCAGCCGCGGUAAUACGAAGGGGGCUAGCGUUGUUCGGAUUUACUGGGCGUAAAGCGCACGUAGGCGGACUAUUAAGUCAGGGGUGAAAUCCCGGGGCUCAACCCCGGAACUGCCUUUGAUACUGGUAGGCUUGAGUUCGAGAGAGGUGAGUGGAAUUCCGAGUGUAGAGGUGAAAUUCGUAGAUAUUCGGAGGAACACCAGUGGCGAAGGCGGCUCACUGGCUCGAUACUGACGCUGAGGUGCGAAAGCGUGGGGAGCAAACAGGAUUAGAAACCCGUGUAGUCCCAUGAU
rnacentral:rRNA from 1 species